AUACGGAAGGUCCGGGCGUUAUCCGGAUUUAUUGGGUUUAAAGGGAGCGCAGGCGGAGAUGCAAGCGUGACGUCAAAUUUCGGGGCUCAACCCCGUCUCGCGUCGCGAACUGCGUCCCUUGGUUGCGGGAAGGGGAGGCGGAACUCGUGGUGUAGAGGUGAAAUGCAUAGAUAUCACGAAGAACUCCGAUCGCGAAGGCAGCCUUCCGGCCCGUCAACGACGCUCAUGCUCGAAGGUGCGGGUAUCAAACAGGAUUAGAUACCCUGGUAGUCCGCACAGUAAACGAUGGACACCCGCGGUUUGGCCUGUAUGGCUGAGCCGCCAAGCGAAAGCGUUAAGUGUCCCACCUGGGGAGUACGCCGGCAACGGUGAAACUCAAAUGAAUUGACGGGG
rnacentral:rRNA from 1 species